rnacentral:rRNA from 1 species
AAAUUGAAGAGUUUGAUCAUGGCUCAGAUUGAACGCUGGCGGCAGGCCUAACACAUGCAAGUCGAACGGUAACAGGAAACAGCUUGCUGUUUCGCUGACGAGUGGCGGACGGGUGAGUAAUGUCUGGGAAACUGCCUGAUGGAGGGGGAUAACUACUGGAAACGGUAGCUAAUACCGCAUAACGUCGCAAGACCAAAGAGGGGGACCCUCGGGCCUCUUGCCAUCGGAUGUGCCCAGAUGGGAUUAGCUUGUUGGUGGGGUAACGGCUCACCAAGGCGACGAUCCCUAGCUGGUCUGAGAGGAUGACCAGCCACACUGGAACUGAGACACGGUCCAGACUCCUACGGGAGGCAGCAGUGGGGAAUAUUGCACAAUGGGCGCAAGCCUGAUGCAGCCAUGCCGCGUGUAUGAAGAAGGCCUUCGGGUUGUAAAGUACUUUCAGCGGGGAGGAAGGGAGUAAAGUUAAUACCUUUGCUCAUUGACGUUACCCGCAGAAGAAGCACCGGCUAACUCCGUGCCAGCAGCCGCGGUAAUACGGAGGGUGCAAGCGUUAAUCGGAAUUACUGGGCGUAAAGCGCACGCAGGCGGUUUGUUAAGUCAGAUGUGAAAUCCCCGGGCUCAACCUGGGAACUGCAUCUGAUACUGGCAAGCUUGAGUCUCGUAGAGGGGGGUAGAAUUCCAGGUGUAGCGGUGAAAUGCGUAGAGAUCUGGAGGAAUACCGGUGGCGAAGGCGGCCCCCUGGACGAAGACUGACGCUCAGGUGCGAAAGCGUGGGUAGCAAACAGGAUUAGAUACCCUGGUAGUCCACGCCGUAAACGAUGUCGACUUGGAGGUUGUGCCCUUGAGGCGUGGCUUCCGGAGCUAACGCGUUAAGUCGACCGCCUGGGGAGUACGGCCGCAAGGUUAAAACUCAAAUGAAUUGACGGGGGCCCGCACAAGCGGUGGAGCAUGUGGUUUAAUUCGAUGCAACGCGAAGAACCUUACCUGGUCUUGACAUCCACGGAAGUUUUCAGAGAUGAGAAUGUGCCUUCGGGAAC